CAGGUUGAAGCAGGUUGGCAGAGGUAGCCAGGCAUCAUGGCGGCCCUUGUCAGUGGAGAGAACGGCCGCUAUUUUGCCUGUUAUUCUUCCAUCGUAACUAAAUGAGAUAGUAAUUGACGAACACAACACACCACGUGGAGAGAAGCAAGGUGUGGAGUACCCAAGCCUCUCACAGUCCAUGCUAGUAGACUCACCCUGCAUGUGGAGAUCUCCCAAAAUGCACGGAGGUUAUUCCAGAGCUGCAGGACAGAGUACUUGAGACCAUUGGUGAACAGAAAGCUGAGGUUGAACAAAGCCAAGAAUUGAUAGCUGCCCAAGGUGUAAGCAAGAUUCACAAUGAUGAGGUCAUUGUGACGUGUGCAAUGUGUCCACUGGUCUUGGCCUUCCUGACCAAGGCAGCCACACAAAGGAAAUUCCACGUUAUUGUUGCCGAACGUGCCCCUAAAUAUGAUGGUCACCCAGUGGCAAAAGCUUUAUGUACUGCUGGAAUUGAGACAACAUUAAUUCAAGACUCUGCAGUGUUCCCCAUCAUGUCACGUGUCAACAAGGUCAUCAAAGGUCAUCGUUGGCACCGAGACGGUGGUGACCAACGGAGGCAUUGAGACCUUUGUUGGUGCAGCCUCUCUUGCCUCACCACCAAAGUUUUAUUCUGUUCCACUGUAUGUGUGCACUCCCACAUACAAAUUUAGCUUGAUGGGCUGUGAAGAAAUAAGCCACCAAACCACCACUUCUAUUAUCCCAGAGGGAACAAAGUUUUGGCCGUCUGUAAAUACUGCGCUGACUCAGCUAGAUUACGUUCCUCCAGAAAAUGUCACCAGUUUGAUAACUAACAAUCGAGGUACUGCACCAUCCUACGUGUACCGGCAGCUUAGCGAACUGUACCGUCCCACUUCUUGUGUAACAAGAAGGUAACAGCUUUAAUCCUUGCAAAUAAGGAAUAAGAGAAAAGAGACACACCUGCCAUUUGUACUGUUAUGCUGUAGUGUUCUGUCAUUUUUUUCCUCUUUUAUCCUAGAACCAUUUUUGGUCAUUCAUGUUUCUAAAAAUUAUUAUACAAAAAUGUUGAGCUUAAUAUGUUUGGUGUAGUUUUUUGUAACAUGUGUUAUUGUUAAUGUGUGUGGUUCCCCUCAGGAAGAAUGUUGCAGUAUUAGCAGUAAUGUUACAGCCAAUGGAAGUGUCUGUAUUGUGGUUUGGUGGGAGGUUAAUUUGAUGUAUUUUUAGAGUUGUGCAGGAUAUUAUAGCAAGCCCUCAAAAUAAAGAAAAUAACUAUAGAAAACACUCCUUGUAUUGAAAACACCACUGCAGAGAAAUCUCUAAUGAAACAGGAAACCCUACAUUCAGUACUGUGUGGUUGUUGCAGUAACACUGAGCUAAAUGCCUUUUGGAUGGUUGUACACUAAAAAUAAUGUAAAAAUGCCUAUAAACAACUGUCCGUCCCUGCAUUAAAAACCUUUCAUCAUAAAA